rnacentral:rRNA from 1 species
ACUUUUCAGCUAGAGUAUGAUAGAGGAAAGCAGAAUUUCUAGUGUAGAGGUGAAAUUCGUAGAUAUUAGAAAGAAUACCAAUUGCGAAGGCAGCUUUCUGGAUCAUUACUGACACUGAGGAACGAAAGCAUGGGUAGCGAAGAGGAUUAGAUACCCUCGUAGUCCAUGCCGUAAACGAUGUGUGUUAGACGUUGGAAAUUUAUUUUCAGUGUCGCAGCGAAAGCGAUAAACACACCGCCUGGGGAGUACGACCGCAAGGUUAAAACUCAAAUGAAUUGACGGGGACCCGCACAAGUAGUGGAGCAUGUGGUUUAAUUCGAAGAUACGCGCAGAACCUUACCAACACUUGACAUGUUCGUCGCGACUCUAAGAGAUUAGAGUUUUCGGUUCGGCCGGACGAAACACAGGUGCUGCAUGGCUGUCGUCAGCUCGUGUCGUGAGAUGUUGGGUUAAGUCCCGCAACGAGCGCAACCCUCACUUUUAGUUGCCAUCAUUAAGUUGGGCACUCUGAAAGAACUGCCAGUGAUAAGCUGGAGGAAGGUGGGGAUGACGUCAAGUCCUCAUGGCCCUUACGUGUUGGGCUACACACGUGCUACAAUGGUAUCUACAACAGGAAGCAAGACUGCGAGGUCAAGCAAAUCCUUAAAAGAUACCUCAGGUUCGGAUUGCACUCUGCAACUCGAGUGCAUGAAGCUGGGAAUUACUAGUAA